UGCUUAGUAGCAUAAUUGGUAAUGCGUAGGACUGUUAAUCCGAAAGAUACAGGUUCGAGUCCUGUUUAGGCAG
rnacentral:tRNA from 1 species